GUUUUGAAUCAAAUAUAAGAUAUUUAUUGGGUAUUUGUGCAUGUGCCUUCAGAAAUUGCUGUUCUGUUGUUUGAUUCUCCUCUUGAGCUCUGUUCUGUUCCUCACUGUCACUGCGAGAUCGCCGAUCUUUAAGCUUAUGUUGACUUUACAGGCACUUCCAUCAAUUGAAAAGGACAACAUGCCUAUACUGAAGUAUUUCCCAGCCAAGCUGAGAUGGUGAACAUUCCAAAUUGAAGACACUGAUUUGAGAAAUCACAGAUUUUAUUUUAUUUUUCUUUUUGUGAUUGAUUCAUGCACUUGUAUAAAAUACAACAGGGAUUUGUGGGUUCUUUGUAAAUCUUCUGAUGUGUUCUAGAAAUAUUCUAUCAAUAAACAAUUUAAAUGCAUUUGGUCAAGAUAAAACAUACACAGGUAGAAUGAUGUUGGGAUUGAAA